GACGAACGCUGGCGGCGUGGAUUAGGCAUGCAAGUCGAACGGUAGGAUACCUUCGGGUAUCUGAGAGUGGCGAACGGGUGAGUAACACGUAGGUGAUCUACCCUCAAGAUUGGGACAACCCAGGGAAACUUGGGCUAAUACCGGAUGAAAGCAGCAGUGAUGUUGUUUGAAAGGUGGCGUAAGCUGCCGUUUGGGGAUGAGCCUGCGCUCUAUUAGUUAGUUGGCGGGGUAAAGGCCCACCAAGGCGAUGAUAGAUAGGCGGCCUUAACGGGUGGUCGCCCACACUGGGAUUGAGAUACGGCCCAGACUCCUACGGGAGGCAGCAGUCGAGAAUAGUCUACAAUGGCCGAAAGGCUGAUAGUGCGACGCCGCGUGAACGAAGAAGCCCUUCGGGGUGUAAAGUUCUUUUAUAUGUGAGCAGUGCUUUCUAUGUGAACAGCAUGGGGAGAGAGAUAUUAGCAUAUGAAUAAGCAACGGCUAAACUCCGUGCCAGCA
rnacentral:rRNA from 1 species